GGCCUCUUUUCUAAAAGCACUAAUCCCAUUCAUGAGGGCUCCAUCCUCAUGACCUGAACAAUUUCAAAAGGCUCCACCUCCAAAAACCAUCACACUGGCGGUGAGGAUUUCAACAUAUGCAUUGGGAGGGGAGGGAUGCACACAUUUAGUCCAUUGGCCCUUCUCACAAAAACUACAAUUUGCUUGAAUUAAUGCCAUACUCAAGGCCUAUGUCGCAAGGGAUCUGAGAAUACAGAGGAGGCAAGUCAACAAAAGAAGAGUCAGGGGAAGUAUCACAGAUGAAGAGGCAUCUGAGCUCAGUGUUAUGGAAUGAAGGAAAUCAACACUCAGAGAAAAGGGGAAAGCAUGAAUGCAGUCCCCCACUACCACAAAUCAUGCAGUCGAGUUUCGCACUUUUGGGGAAAUCACAGGGGUCAGCACACCCAGAGUGCAAUGGAUAAACCUCGCCCUGGGAAAACCACCUUCGUGAUCAUGUUAUCUCCCCUGCCAGAAAAUGUUCCCAAUCUCUGGGCCACACUAUUGAAUGAGAAGAGACCAGGUGGAGAGAGAGGCUCAGCCAGACAUCAGCCAUUACAG
rnacentral:lncRNA from 10 species